AUCUUUCUAAUAUCAACGGAGUAUAUGUGACUUCCAAUCACCUAGUCUUGGUUCAAAUCCAAGGAAAGAUA
rnacentral:tRNA from 2 species